AUGAGGAUGGCUGAGUGGUUUAAGGCGGCAGACUGUAAAUUUGUUGUGGUUUCACGUCGUGGGUUCAAAUCCUACUCCUCACA
rnacentral:tRNA from 1 species